rnacentral:rRNA from 1 species
AGUGAACGCCGGCGGUAGGCCUAACACAUGCAAGUCGAACGGCAGCACAGUAAUAGCUUGCUCUUACGGGUGGCGAGUGGCGGACGGGGGGGGAAUACAUCGGAAUCUACUUUUUCGUGGGGGAGAACGUGGGGAAACUUACGCUAAUACCGCAUACGACCUACGGGUGAAAGCAGGGGAUCUUCGGACCUUGCUCGAGUGAAUGAGCCGAUGUCGGAUUAGCUAGUUGGCGGGGUAAAGGCCCACCAAGGCGACGAUCCGUAGCUGGUCUGAGAGGAUGAUCAGCCACACUGGAACUGAGACAAGGUCCAGACUCCUACGGGAGGCAGCAGUGGGGAAUAUUGGACAAUGGGCGCAAGCCUGAUCCAGCCAUACCGCGUGGGUGAAGAAGGCCUUCGGGUUGUAAAGCCCUUUUGUUGGGAAAGAAAAGCAGCAGGUUAAUACCCCGCUGUUCUGACGGUACCCAAAGAAUAAGCACCGGCUAACUUCGUG